CGUUCCGCAACGGUGUGAAGCACUAGCGACAAGCAGGUGUGGACCGUGCGGAAGUGAGAAUGUCGGCUUGAGUAGCGCAAAUGUAGGUGAGAAUCCUACACCCCGAAACCCUAAGGGUUCCUCCGCCAGGCUCGUCCGCGGAGGGUGAGUCAGGUCCUAAGGCGAGGCAGAAGUGCGUAGUCGAUGGAUAACGGGUCAAUAUUCCCGUACCUGACAUUGUUGGUGCAGAGGGACGGAGAAGGCAAUCGCCAGCCGGAUGUUGGUUACCGGUUCAAGUAUUCGAGGUGUUGAGAGACGGAGAAAACGUCUUGAGCUGAGGUACGAAUACGACCUCCUACGGGAGGGAAGUGGUAGAUGUCAGGCUUCCCAGAAAAGCUCUAAACACCAUAAACAAUGUCAGCCUGUACCCGAAACCGA
rnacentral:sRNA from 1 species